rnacentral:lncRNA from 1 species
UUUUUUAUGUGUUCUUGUUUUGUCUCCGUACUGUACACAUUGUCUAUGUCUUAUCAUUUCAUAUUAUUGUCUACGUCUUAUCAUUUCAUUUCAUAAUACAACACACAAAACAUAUUUAUAAACAAAUAUUAAUUGUUAUGUACUUAACGAUUUAGGUACUGGUAAUUAUAUAAUAAUCUCAUAACAUGUUAGCUGCAUGUAAAAAGUAAAAUCACAAAAAUACUGAACUUAGAGGAAAAUCAAUUCGGAAAAGUCCAUAAUCACAUGGAAAAAUCAAAUAAUAAAACGCAUCAAAAACGAAUGGACAAGAACUGUCAUAUUCCUGACUUAGUACAGGCAUUUUCAAAUGUAGAAAAUGGUGGAUUAAACCUGGUUUUAAGCGGUAAUCCUCUCACUGUGAUGACAGUCUCAUCACAUUCCGUUAUAUUUACAUCAAUGCAUUAACUAAAUAGACACAAUAAAUAAAACAGUCAAAAUAUGGGUACAUCAGUCAUCAUCGUAUAACAAUUUUAAAAGGAACAAUUUAACAGAACACGAAAACAUCUAUCUACAACCACAUUCAUUGAUUUGUGUGUCUGACGUCAGACAAUUUUACACGUCACAUAGAUUUGUCGUUCAAUGUGCAUACAAACAAUUUUAAUAAGCAAUGUUAGCAUAUAGGGUAAUUAAAUUAUUAAAUAAUAACACUAAAACAGUACCAUAUCAGUUCACUUUUAAGUUUAGUCCACAAUUUCGACUAUGGUUCAGUAUCGUAUCUUAACCAUUACUUUCUAUAAUUCUACCAAUAUUAAGAUUGGUUCACUAUUUUAUCUCAGCCAUUACUUUCUUCAACUCUAUGAAUAGACAGUUAGGUUCACUAUGUCAUCUUUGAAAUGUCUUAAACUUAAGACUAACUAUAAUUGACAGCAUUACAUAUAUACUCUAAAGACGUCAUUCUAGUCAUGAAUGAUUGGAAAUCUACUGUCAAUAUGUUGGUAUGUUAAGUAGUAUGCCUAU